rnacentral:tRNA from 1 species
GUCCCCCUAGUAUUAACUAGUACAAGUGACUUCCAAUCACUAAGUCUCAACUAAGCCUGAGGGGGGAUA